rnacentral:rRNA from 1 species
AGCCAUGCAUGUUAGUGAACUUCGGGGAACGACGAACGGCUCAGUAAUGCUGCGAUGAUCUGCUCUCGGCGACAAAUAACCACGGGAAACUGUGGCUAAAAGGCGAGAUUGAGACGCAGCCCUAUCAGCUUGUUGGUAGUGUAAAGGACUACCAAGGCAAUAACGGGUAACGGGAAAUCAGGGUUUUAUUCCGGAGAGGGAGCCUGAGAGAUGGCUCCCACGUCCAUGGACGGCAGCAGGCGCGAAAAUUGCCCACUCUUCGUGAGGAGGCAGUUAGGAGACAUGAGAGAAAGGGCGCACUUUAGAAGAGUGUGCUUGAUGCGAUUGGAGGGCAAGUUUGGUGCCAGCAGCCGCGGUAAUACCGACUCCAAGAGUGUCUAUGGUGGAUGCUGCAGUUAAAAAGUCCGUAGUUGUGCCUGCAAUUAAAAGACACUGAUCGAGGGUGUUGAGUUUGUUAUUGGUGGUGGAACGGAUAGGGAGCACAGUAUAGACGGGCGAGAGAUGAAAUACCAAGACCCCGUCUGGACUGACCGAGGCGAAAGCGGUGUUCUUAUACGAAUCCUGAGAUCAAGGACGAAGGCUAGAGUAUCGAAAGUGAUUAGAUACCGCUGUAGUUCUAGCAGUAAACGAUGCCGACACUGUGUGACGGAUGUUGCGCAGAGGAGAAAUCUUAGUGUUCGGGCUCUGGGGAUAGUAUGCUCGCAAGUGUGAAAAUUAAAGAAAUU